rnacentral:rRNA from 1 species
GAUGAACGCUGGCGGCGUGCUUAACACAUGCAAGUCGAACGGACUUACGAUGAAGCCUAGCGAUUCGUAAGUUAGUGGCGGACGGGUGAGUAACGCGUGGGUAACCUGCCUUACACUGGGGGAUAACAGUUAGAAAUAGCUGCUAAUACCGCAUAAGCGUACAGGGCCGCAUGGCCUGGUGUGAAAAAAUCCGGUGGUGUAAUAUGGACCCGCGUCUGAUUAGUCAGUUGGUGAGGUAACGGCCCAACAAGGCGACGAUCAGUAGCCGGCCUGAGAAGUUGGACGGCCACAUUGGGACUCAGACACAGCCCAAAAUCCUACGGGAGGCAGCAGUGGUGAAUAUUGCACAAUGGGGGAAACCCUGAUGCAGCGACGCCGCGGGAGUGAAGAAGUAUUUCGGUAUAUAAAGCUCUAUCAGCAAGGAAGAAAAUGACAGUACUUGACUAAGAAGCCCCGGCUAACUACGUGCCAGCCGCCGCCGUAAAAC